rnacentral:rRNA from 2 species
CCAACAGGGAUUGCCUCAGUAACGGCGAGUGAAGCGGCAACAGCUCAAAUUUGAAAGCUGGCUCUUUCAGAGCCCGCGUUGUAAUUUGUAGAGGAUGCUUCGGGUGCGGCGCUGGUCUAAGUUCUUUGGAACAAGACGUCAUAGAGGGUGAGAAUCCCGUAUGUGACUAGCUGCCUGUGCCUGUGUGAAGCUCCUUCGACGAGUCGAGUUGUUUGGGAAUGCAGCUCAAAAUGGGUGGUGUACUUCAUCUAAAGCUAAAUAUUGGCCAGAGACCGAUAGCGCACAAGUAGAGUGAUCGAAAGAUGAAAAGCACUUUGGAAAGAGAGUUAAACAGUACGUGAAAUUGUUGAAAGGGAAGCGCUUGCAAUCAGACUUGCGCGGCGUCGAUCAACCUGGGUUCUCCCUGGUGCACUCGGCGCUGCUCAGGCCAGCAUCAGUUUCGGCGGUUGGAUAAAGGCCUAGGGAACGUGGGUUACUUCGGUGACUGUUAUAGCCCUAGGUGCAAUGCAGCCUGCUGGGACUGAGGACCGCGCUUCGGCUAGGAUGCUGGCGUAAUGGUUGUAAGCGACCCGUCUUGAAACACGGACCAAGGAGUCUAACAUCUAUGCGAGUUUUUGGGUGUCAAACCCAUAAGCGUAAUGAAAGUGAACGGAGGUGAGAACCCUUAAGGGUGCAUCAUCGACCGAUCCUGAUGUCUUCGGAUGGAUUUGAGUAAGAGCAUAGCUGUUGGGACCCGAAAGAUGAUGAUCUAUACCUGAAUAGGGUGAAGCCAGAGGAAACUCUGGUGGAGGCUCGCAGCGGUUCUGACGUGCAAAUCGAUCGUCAAAUUUGGGUAUAGGGGCGAAAGACUAAUCGAA